AUUGAACGCUGGCGGCAGGCCUAACACAUGCAAGUCGAACGGUAGCACAGAGAGCUUGCUCUCGGGUGACGAGUGGCGGACGGGUGAGUAAUGUCUGGGAAACUGCCCGAUGGAGGGGGAUAACUACUGGAAACGGUAGCUAAUACCGCAUAACGUCGCAAGACCAAAGUGGGGGACCUUCGGGCCUCACACCAUCGGAUGUGCCCAGAUGGGAUUAGCUAGUAGGUGGGGUAAUGGCUCACCUAGGCGACGAUCCAUAGCUGGUCUGAGAGGAUGACAGGCCACACUGGAACUGAGACACGGUCCAGACUCCUACGGGAGGCAGCAGUGGGGAAUAUUGCACAAUGGGCGCAAGCCUGAUGCAGCCAUGCCGCGUGUAUGAAGAAGGCCUUCGGGUUGUAAAGUACUUUCAGCGGGGAGGAAGGCGGUGAAGUUAAUAACUUCACCGAUUGACGUUACCCGCAGAAGAAGCACCGGCUAACUCCGUGCCAGCCGCCGCAGUAA
rnacentral:rRNA from 1 species